UACAGAGGGUGCGAGCGUUGUCCGGAAUCACUGGGCGUAAAGGGCGCGUAGGCUGCCUGAUAAGUAGGGGGUGAAAUCCUGUGGCUUAACUGCAGGGCUGCCUCCUAGACUGUUAGGCUCGAGCACGGUAGAGGCAGAUGGAAUUCCCGGUGUAGCGGUGGAAUGCGUAGAGAUCGGGAAGAACAUCGGUGGCGAAGGCGGUCUGCUGGGCCGUUGCUGACGCUGAGAAGCGAAAGCAUGGGGAGCGAACAGG
rnacentral:rRNA from 1 species